GUCCGGAAUUACUGGGCGUAAAGGGUACGCAGGCGGAUAUAUAAGUCAAAUGUGAAAGGCACCGGCUCAACCGGUGAGCGGCAUUUGAAACUGUAUAUCUUGAGUUCAGGAGAGGAGAGCGGAAUUCCUGGUGUAGCGGUGGAAUGCGUAGAUAUCAGGAAGAACACCAGUGGCGAAGGCGGCUCUCUGGCCUGGAACUGACGCUCAGGUACGAAAGCUGGGGGAGCGAACGGGAUUAGAUACCCCGGUAGUCCCAGCCGUAAACGAUGGACACUAGGUGUUGGGGGUUCGAAUCCUUCAGUGCCGAAGCAAACGCAUCAAGUGUCCCGCCUGGGGAGUACGGUCGCAAGACUGAAACUCAAAGGAAUUGACGGGGGCCCGCACAAGCGGUGGAGCAUGUGGUUUAAUUCGAUGCAACGCGAAGAACCUUACCGAGACUUGACAUCCCGUGACUAUCUGUGAAAGCAGAGUCUGCCUUCGGGCACACGGAGACAGGUGGUGCAUGGUUGUCGUCAGCUCGUGUCGUGAGAUGUUGGGUUAAGUCCCGCAACGAGCGCAACCCCUAUCCUUAGUUGCCAGCGGGUAAUGCCGGGGACUCUAAGGAGACAGCCGGUGAAAGCCGGAGGAAGGUGGGGAUGACGUCAAAUCAUCAUGCCCUUUAUGUCUCGGGCUACACACGUGCUACAAUGGCCAGUACAGAGGGAAGCGAAGGAGUGAUCUGGAGCAAAUCCCAGAAAGCUGGUCCCAGUUCGGGUUGCAGGCUGCAACUCGCCUGCAUGAAGCCGGAAUCGCUAGUAAUCGCAGGUCAGCAUACUGCGGUGAAUACGUUCCCGGGCCUUGUACACACCGCCCGUCACACCACCCGAGUCAGAUGCACCAGAAGUCAUCUAAGGAUGCCGAAGGUGUGCCUGGUAAGGGGGGUGAAGUCGUAACAAGGUAGCCGUA
rnacentral:rRNA from 1 species